rnacentral:rRNA from 1 species
GAUGAACGCUGGCGGCGUGCCUAAUACAUGCAAGUCGAGCGAACAGACGAGGAGCUUGCUCCUCUGACGUUAGCGGCGGACGGGUGAGUAACACGUGGAUAACCUACCUAUAAGACUGGGAUAACUUCGGGAAACCGGAGCUAAUACCGGAUAAUAUAUUGAACCGCAUGGUUCAAUAGUGAAAGACGGUUUUGCUGUAUCUUAUAGAUGGAUCCGCGCCGCAUUAGCUAGUUGGUAAGGUAACGGCUUACCAAGGCAACGAUGCGUAGCCGACCUGAGAGGGUGAUCGGCCACACUGGAACUGAGACACGGUCCAGACUCCUACGGGAGGCAGCAGUAGGGAAUCUUCCGCAAUGGGCGAAAGCCUGACGGAGCAACGCCGCGUGAGUGAUGAAGGUCUUCGGAGCGUAAAACUCUGUUAUUAGGGAAGAACGAAUGUGUAAGUAACUAUGCACGUCUUGACGGUACCUAAUCAGAAAGCCACGGCUAACUACGUG